rnacentral:rRNA from 1 species
CCAUGGGGAAUCUUCCGCAAUGGGCGAAAGCCUGACGGAGCAAUACCGCGUGAGGGAGGAAGGCUCUUGGGUCGUAAACCUCUUUUCUCAGGGAAGAACACAAUGACGGUACCUGAGGAAUAAGCAUCGGCUAACUCCGUGCCAGCAGCCGCGGUAAUACGGAGGAUGCAAGCGUUAUCCGGAAUCAUUGGGCGUAAAGCGUCCGCAGGUGGCAAUUCAAGUCUGCUGUCAAAGGUCGGGGCUCAACCCUGAACAGGCAGUGGAAACUGAGCAGCUGGAGUGCGGUAGGGGCAGAG